UUGUCUCUCUUGAGUGGAUCCUGAGUACGACGGAGCACGUGAAAUUCCGUCGGAAUCUGGGAGGACCAUCUCCUAAGGCUAAAUACUCUCUAGUGACCGAUAGUGAACCAGUACCGUGAGGGAAAGGUGAAAAGCACCCCGGAAGGGGAGUGAAAUAGAACCUGAAACCGUGUGCUUACAAGUAGUCAGAGCCCGUUAAUGGGUGAUGGCGUGCCUUUUGUAGAAUGAACCGGCGAGUUACGAUUUGAUGCAAGGUUAAGCAGUAAAUGUGGAGCCGUAGCGAAAGCGAGUCUGAAUAGGGCGUUUAGUAUUUGGUCGUAGACCCGAAACCAGGUGAUCUACCCUUGGUCAGGUUGAAGUUCAGGUAACACUGAAUGGAGGACCGAACCGACUUACGUUGAAAAGUGAGCGGAUGAACUGAGGGUAGCGGAGAAAUUCCAAUCGAACCUGGAGAUAGCUGGUUCUCUCCGAAAUAGCUUUAGGGCUAGCCUCAAGUGAUGAUUAUUGGAGGUAGAG
rnacentral:rRNA from 1 species